rnacentral:rRNA from 1 species
UCAAAUAGUAUGUUGACGUAUUCUGAAAGGGAUACUUCUUCGGACAAUAUACAAGGUGCUGCAUGGUUGUCGUCAGCUCGUGCCGUGAGGUGUCGGGUUAAGUCCCAUAACGAAGCGCAACCCCUACUCAUUAGUUGCCAUCAGGUCAAGCUGGGGACUCUAAUGAAACUGCCUACGCAAGUAGUGAGGAAGGUGGGGAUGACGUCAAAUCAGCACGGCCCUUACGUCCAGGGCUACACACGUGCUACAAUGGCCGGUACAAAGGGCAGCUACCUGGUGACAGGAUGCUAAUCUCAAAAGCCGGUCUCAGUUCGGAUCGGAGUCUGCAACCCGACUCUGUGAAGCUGGAAUCGCUAGUAAUCGCGCAUCAGCCAUGGCGCGGUGAAUACGUUCCCGGGCCUU